rnacentral:lncRNA from 1 species
UACGUACUGAAGCAUUCGGAAAUGCUGCUCGAUACGCUACAGAAAUAUACCGGAAAGAUGCAUCUGGCAACAUUCAGAAGCUCAUGUUCGAUAAGUUUGAUGCUGCAGAACUCAAGUCCUCCUUAAAACCAGGGACCUGUGUGGAUGCAUUCCUGUCCUUAGAUCCAUAUGACUAUCAGCAGCGUGCAGGCAUCCGAUUAGUGGCCGAAAAGUUAAUUAUUCAUUACGAGUAACAAAAGGGAAAGGACCUCUUGGAGGAUCAUCAUUUGAUGGUUAACAAUACCAACGAUAAUGUAAUGUACCCCAAUGUUACCAAUACAAUGUUGCCAAAUGGACAACAAGAACAAUCUGGAAAAAGCGCUUCAUAAUGAAUUGCCCUUCGCCCCUGCUUUUGCUUCUCCGCUAGUGUCAAAAUCAUGGAUAUUGUUUAAGCUCAAAACUGUGGAAAUAGACCACCAAACGUGGCCCUACUGAAACAAACUUUUCAUAAGCUACUCAUUAGUCGCUCCAAGCCAAGAGUUAUGUUAUGUUGGUUGAUUUCCUUUGUCGCCCCACAAUAAAUACUUUCUGUUAACGGACAGUGUGUCAGUGUCAACUAAUGGUAAAUUUGAGGGAAAAAUGUCGGGUAAAAAUGGGAUUUUGUUUUGUCUUGAGGCAUAAUAUAAGGUUUUGUUGGCUUUGGGUGUUUGGAAAGAAGCGGUUCCCUCAGCUUCGACGGUUGCCGUUUUAACAAAAUUCCAGACGGCUUUUUCUUGUAGCUAGUAACAUGUAAUUCUUUUUGGUCCUCUGUCUCCAACUCAUCCUCGUCACCACAUAUUCUCCUAAAACUGAAUUAAACAGAAAUUGAGUUUAAUCUGUACAGGCACAUUUGAUGAUGAUAUGCCUGAGUGGAGGGGAGCGUGGUUUUGGGGUGUGCACGUUUGCUGUUUGAUGAUAUGCCUGAGAGAAGUGUUGUGAGUUGGAAUUCGUUGCUUAAGGGGUAUGUUAAGUGUGGAGAUAUUGACGGGGCACGGUAGGUUUUUGAUGAGAUGCCACACAGGAAUGUCGUUUCCUGGACGACCAUGAUUUCGGGGUGUGCUCAGAAUGGGAAGUCCAAGCAAGCGUUGUCUUUGUUUAACGAGGUGAGAAGAGGCCGUGUGGGAUUGGACCAAGUGGCGUUGGUGUCAGCUUUAUCGGCUUGUGCUGAAAUAGGGGAUUUGAAGUUAGGAAAGUGGAUACCUUCAUAUGUUGAGGAGAAAUUUUCUGUUGGAAGAGAGCCAGUUUUAGUAUCUUUGAAUAAUGCACUUAUUCAUAUGUAUGCUAGUUGUAGUGAGAUUGAAGAAGCCUACGGACUGUUUAGAAAAAAUGCAGAGGAGGAAUACUGUUUUUUGGACAAGCAUGAUUAAGGGAUUUGCGAAGCAGGGCUAUUCUUGUUUUCUUUGAAUGGAUGCGGAGCUUGGGAGUGAAGGAAGCAAGACUGGAUGAGCUAACCUUCUUAGGUGAUCUGAGUGCUUGUAGCCACGGUGGCUUUGUUGAUGAGGACCGCCAAUUUUUUGAGUGCAUGAAUCAAAAUUGGGGAAUCAAACCAAGGAUUGAGCACUAUGGGUGCAUGGCAGAUCUCUUCAGCCGUGCUGGUUUAUUGGAUGAAGCUUUCAGUCUUGUUCAGAAUAUGCCCAUGAAACCAAAUGAUGCUGUGUGAGGUCUCCUUCUUGGUUGAAGAAUUCGUAACAAUGCUGAGCUUGCGUCACAAGUCGCUCAGAAAUCGGUGGCUGAGAUUGACCCUGAGCAAGCUGCUGGCUAUCUUGCACUUUUGGCUAAUGUGUAUGCUACUGCUAAAAAGGUGGCAGGAUGUUGCUGCUGUGAGACAGAAGAUGAUUAAGUUGGGUGUAAGAAAGCCUCCAGGUCGAAGUUGGGUCCAAAUUAAUGGUGUUCUUCUUGAUUAUGUGGGUGGUGACAGUGCCCACAAGCAUGCAUCUUUAAUUUAUAAGAUGCUUGGUGAGAUCACCAUGCAAGCUAUGCGGGAAGGCUACAACCCAGACCUAUCGGAGCUGUUUUUGGGCAUCAAGGAAUAAGACAGGUAGCAAGAGAAAUUUGCUUUGUGUUAACGAACUGCAUCUCGCGUUGAGUUCAUUUACUGGAGUUGCUACAGUUCUUGUGAUCAUUCAUUUGUAUUCUCAUAGGCAUUAGGCAGUUUUUCAUCUUAUAAGGUGGCAAAACUUUCUCCAAUCUCCCGAAAAGUGUAAAAUUCAUGUAAACUACUUGCUUGCUUGCUAGUUGCUGUCUAAAGAAAUUGCAAAGUGUUUAUGAAAAGAAAAUUUUAUUGAUAUUGAUUUUGGGUACAAGUUGAGUGCUUGCUUGUUCGUGUAUUCACUUACACAUUCAUGCAUCUUGACUUGAGACUCUUUAUAUACAACUCAAGACUCUGGUCAAGACUUUGGACCAUUAUUGACAUUGAUUACAAAAGACAAAAGUAGAAAAUGACUCUUUAUAUGUGGUGAAAAGUCAACGAUUAAUUAAAAAGGUACAAACUGACUAAUUAGUACUAUUAUAGUGACUCACUAUUUAUAAACAGUAACUGUUUACUAUUUUAAGUGAUGACUCACUGUCGGUAAGAAAAGACAAAAUGAAAAAUGUGUUUUUACAGUUUUUCCUUUAUCGAGUAGCGAAUAAAGGUUAUCUAUAAAACUACGUGACUCUAUCUACUUUAAUUUUACACUGAUUUUGGCUACUGCUGACUAAUCUUCCAUGUCGUUUUUUAUGUUGUCUGAUUCUUUACUUUCCAAGUCAUCCUACCAUUUUGUCUUUUCUUACCAACAGUGAGUUAUCACUUAAAAUAGUAGUCGGUUACUGUUUAUAGAUAGUGAGUCACUAUAAAAGUACUAGUUAGCCGGUUUGUACUUUUUAAAUAUUCUUUCCACAUAUGCAUGCAAUUGCGGGAAGACCUUUAUCUUUUUUGUGUCUCCAAAUUAAUAGUAGACAAGCCAAGAACCCUGGAACAUGAUGCACGAUUGUGUUGAAAUAGAAUAUCAAUCAGACAAUUCAUUCAUCAUUUCUUGCAACUUUCACAAUUACUGCCAUCAUUUUGCGUAAAAAGAACUAUGACCAAAUCCAAAUGCUUUUGAGCAAGGCAAGUGCUAAUAGUGAUUAUGUUUGAUUAGCUAACUACAAAGCCAAAACUUCAAUAUGCUAGGCAUAUUCUAUUCAGUAUUCAGCAAGAAACUAUGCUGGUUUGGACCCUUGGAGGAGGAAACGUGAGACAGAGUGCGCGUUAAGAGAAAACCCCAAUGAUUAGCUAAGAUAUUGCUUGGAAAUUUAAAAUUACGGCUUUGGUUCUACUUGUACACGAACGCAAGGAAUAAUUCCUAGUGCACAUUCUCAAUUUACUUGUUGCGUAGGGUUUCUAAUUUCUUGUAAUGUGUCCAUAUCCAAUUUCUUGGCAGCAUGUUACCCAUUCCCCUCAUUUUAACUUCUUUUAUCCUUUUAAUAAUUAGUACUGAAUCUUCAAACCCGUUUAGGAUGAGAUUGGAUUAAGCUAAGAUAAGCUAUUAAUUAAAUGAACUAUAUUUUGCAUUAUGAAACUCAAAGCAUUUGAAUUUAUAGUUUAUUUUUCUGUUCUGUUUAUUCUCUGAUAAUCAAUCCUUACAUUCAUUAUAUAAAAAGAAUGAUGCAAUAUGGUAUGCCCAUCCUCUAAUAUAUUGAGUUUUGACAGUUACACAUGCGUUUUGAAAUUGGAACAAUUAUGUACUUGAAAAAAAUAAAUAAAUAAACGCUUCACUUAUUGAAUAAAUGAUUCUAGUGAGACCAUCCAAAAUAAGCUAAUUGUAACAUUUUUUUAGAAAUGUAAUAUUAAAAGAGAUUAAUAAAUGAUAAGAUGGGGCAAUGGUAAGAGGGACCUGCUCAAAUUUAUUGAACCCAUUGCUUGAAAUUCAUUCCUCUUUCAUAACUAAUUAUUUAUAUUCUAUAUUUUAUAGAAACACUUUUUUUUCUUUUGGGACAUUACCAUUACACUACCUUUAUUUUGUUUUAUAUUCAUUCAACCACUACAAAAUUCUAACAUGAUUUCUGUACCACAUUUUUUUUUUAAUUUGUAUAAAUUAGCUACUUUUACACAAAUACUGUUAAAUAAUUAAAACAAAAUGAUAAUUUUACCCAAAAAAAUAAAAGAUCAUUUUAUUUUUAAAAAAUUUGAAAAAAAAUAAUUUAAAAAAUAUCCCUAAAUUUAAUAAAAAAUAAAUUUCAAAUAGAGGUUCUUAGCUGAUUUUUAUUAAAUUUAGAUUUUGUAAAGUUUUAAUAAUUCUUUUUAUUAAAAAAUUAUAAUUUUGUAAAAUUUUAUUAAAAUAACUGAAUUUAUUUAUUAAAAAAUCCUUUAUUAAAAAAUAAAAAUUAUAAUUUUGAGAUUUGUUUCUCAAUUAAAUUUAGGAGUAUUUUUAUAAUUAUAAUUUUUUUAUUUUUCAAAUUUUUUACAAAAUAAAAUAGACUUUUAAUUUAUUUAGAGGUAAAAUUGGUAUUUCAUUUAAAUUAUUGAAUGAUGUUUGUGUAAAAGUGAUUAAUUGAUAUAAAUUUUAAAAAUAUGAUGGUUCAGAAAAUACAUUAAAAUUUUGUGGUGGUUGAAUGAAUAUAAUAUAAAUCAGGGAUGAUUUUUUUUUCUUAAAUGUGAAUUUUUUCAUGCGUGACAGCAAGUUAAUAAUUCGGUGACCCAUUCAACAAGCAAUCGAAGGAAAAAAUACUCUAUAAAUAUCCAAUCGAAUUCGCGCCUUCGUUACCGUUUACCGAUAAUUUCACCUCAGUCAAAAUCAGCUGAUAUAUGCUUCCUUAAACGAUAACAAGAAGAAAAAUCAUCUGAACGAUGGGUCCGACACAAGACCGAUCCGAAAUCGCGUUCUUCGACGUAGAAACAACGGUUCCGACCCGACCUGGCCAGCGCUUCGCCAUUUUGGAAUUCGGAGCAAUUUUAGUUUGUCCCAAAAAGCUCGAGGAGCUCCACAACUACUCCACUCUGGUCCGACCCGCCGACCCGUUGCUUAUCUCCUCUCUCUCCGUACGCUGUAACGGCAUCACUCCAGACGCCGUCGUUUCCGCCCCUACUUUCGCCGAUAUCGCCGAUACAGUCUUCGACAUUCUCCAUGGUCCGUUGAAAGCUCUCAUUUUUUUCUUUCAAUUUUUGUAAUACUAUUUGUUCUUUUUAACUUAGAUUUUUAUUUAUUUAUUGUUGUUUAUACAGGAAGGAUAUGGGCGGGUCAUAAUAUACUGAGGUUUGAUUGUGCGAGAAUAAGAGAGGCGUUUGCGGAGAUCGGACUGCCGGCGCCGGAGCCCAAGGGGACGAUUGACUCGUUGGCAUUGCUGACGCAGAGAUUUGGAAGGAGAGCUGGUGACAUGAAAGUAAAUAUCUGUUAGCUUUGGAUUACUAUGAUGUUAUGUUCAAGUGUUUGUGGGUGCCAACGAUUUUAGCGUUUGUGUUUUUUUCAAUGUUUUGCUUGUGUGCCUUUUCUGUUAUUAUUAAGUGCUAUCAUUUUUAAUGCUGCCUGAUGAAAUCACUGGCUGUCUGGUAAAAGUGGAUUGAAGCACUUUAGCUGCUUUGCUUUUAAAGUUUUGUUGAAGCACGACAGUUACCUAUGUUUGGAUGGAGGGAAGGAGAAGAGAAAAAGAAACUAGGGAAGUUUCUUUGGGAGGGACAGAAGAAGAACUAAAUUAAAGCUUUCAACUGUAUGGUUUCACUGCAAUUGAAGUGAGGAGAAAUUCAUUUGUUGUCAAUUAGAUCUUAUGACUAUGUGUUAAUUUGUUAGUUUGGCCUUGUUCUUUCUGCCUAUACCGUGAAAGGAUUGGGCUUGGAAUGAUGGCACAUGCACAACAUUGCCCUUCUUUCAUUGAUUUUUCGAGCCAAACCGGAGAAAUUCCUCCCUAUCUCCUUCCCUCUCAUUAUUAUUUUUUAGCCAAUCACUGUUUUUUGCUUUUUCCAAAACAAUAUUUGGACCCUUUUAUGGCUUAAGACAUGUCAAAGAGGUGGAGCUUUCUUUGUUUAAUCUAUUUAAGUUUGAACCUUAUUGGAUAAAUUUUGAGAAACUUGUGAACAUUGAAGGUGCCAACACAGCGUUUUAGCCUGUAAAGAAUCGUGCAAUUGGGUUUCUGUUCUGUCACAUUUGUUAAUAAAACAAGAGUUGAUGAAUUUUGUGUGCAAUUUACAGUUAUGGCAUUAUGGUUUUAUACUUUUCAUAUGUGAUAACUGUUUACUUCUUGAUGCUGAUAUGUUAAUAUCUGUGCAGAUGGCCUCCCUUGCAACCUAUUUUGGCCUUGGACAGCAGACUCAUAGGUAUUUUUACAGACUGCAAGGAGUUAUGUUGCUUGCUCUUGCCUUGAAAUAAUACUUUUUUCUACAAUCUUUCAGGAGCUUGGAUGAUGUACGAAUGAAUCUUGAAGUUCUCAAGUAUUGUGCAACUGUUUUGUUCUUGGUAAUCUCUUGUUGGAAAAGCAUUGAGAUCUGGCUUCUUCUUGAAUGAUAGAAAUUGAUAGCUUUCAGAUGUCAUAAUAUUCCUGUAUAACAUACUUGUAAUGUUAAGCUUUGACUCAAUUUCGGUCCGAUGAGUAUGAUAUGCUUUCUUGCUAGUUGAUCUUAUUAUAACAUGUUUUCUUAAAGAUAGUGCAUAUUGCUUCCAAAAGUACAGCUUUUCUGAAGUUUGAUGAUAGAUGAAGACCCUCUAGGAGACUAGGAAGUUCAAUGUUUAGCUACAAUGCCUCUGAAGUUUACUUUGGUUUAUACAUAAUCCAGACCCCACCACCCUUGGAUAACAUCAUGCACUUCAAUUUUGUUUUGUACCUACGGCUAUCAAUUGGUGGCAUAUAAGUUUGCAAUAGUUUUUCAACUAUCCCAAUUACUUUUUGGCCAUCAAAUUUUGUAAGAUGAUUAAAUGCAGCUUAUGCUGAGAUGUGGAAUGCUUGCACUCUGAUUGCUCAUAAUCGAUAACUUUUGAGUUCUUGUAUAUUUUAGGCUUAUCUUGUUUUACCCAUAAAUGACAUCUGAUUGAGAGUUUAGUGGGGUGGCUGAUGGAUUUGCAUGUUUCAUAAGAUUUCUUGUGUAACAAUUAACCAGAAAUUGCCAUAUUCACAGGAAUCAAGCCUCCCAGACAUAUUCACUGUGAACAGUUGGGUUUCCCCAAAUGCUACUACAAGAAGUCGUAGUAAUGCUAAAUCAUCUCCUGAGGGGACAAGCCAAAACCUCAGUACUCCCUCUUCAAAAUUUAAGUUUGAAAAUGCUUCAAAUGCGUCUCCCCCAGAUCAAGGAAAGGAGGAAAUUCAUCCAAUAUUUUCUCUUGUGACUCAAGGAACUGCGGAGGUGGACUCCGUUCUGGCUGGAACUACUGCUGAUCAACCCAAUCCUUUUGACAUGAACCAACUCAGCAAUCAGAUGGAGACUCAAUCUCUUCAACCAGAUGACACCAUGGAAGAUAAAUCAGCGCCAGAGUCUCAUGAGAUGUGUUCCAUGGCAUCUGUGUCUGAGGGUUCAAGUGGUUAUGCUGGAUUUAUGGAGCCUGAUGAAGUUUCCCUCUCCUCCAUCAGUGAUGGUGUUGUCCCAUUGUUUCCUGGGAGUCAAAUUCAAAAAAUUAAAUUAUUGCACAAUGAUGUUAUUUUGCAGCUUUGUUGUUCCCGUUUGAAAAUACGUUUUGGAAUAAGCACAAAGUUUGUUGAUCAGGCUGGCCGGCCACGGUUGAGCUUUGUGGUUGACAUAGCUCAAAGUCUAUGCACAGUUCUUGAUGCAUGUGAAGUCAUUGUGAGGAAAUUGGUUGAAGAUUCUGGUAGCAGCUCUGAAUGGAGGCAUGUUGUGACCAGAAAAGGUGGUUUCUUCAACCAUCCUACAGCAAGAUUGCAGUAAGUUUUCCCUCCAUUUUCAAUUCCAUAUAUUUCCGUUCCGGCAAGAAAAUGAAUAGAAUUACAGUCUAAGGGAAUUAAAAUUCUGAUAUACAUCAUUUUCCUACAGCAAGAAUUUAGGAUACCGUGGUAUGUUUAUUUUGAUAUCUCUAGUUGCAUCUUAGGUGUAAAAGAUUAUAUAAUAAUAGGGAAAAUGGAUAGCCAGCCCUAUAUGUUUGGAUGUUCAUUUUUCCAUGCACAUGGAUUUUGGGCAUGUAGUUUAUUUCAUUUUGCUUUAUUAACUAUUAGCUUUUAGAUUGUUUUCAUGAUUCAUGCGGUACUGGUUAAGUACAAAAAUGGAUCGGUACAAAAGUUUGUAGUAGUUUUGAAGAUAAAGAUGGAAGUCAAUAUUGAAAUCUCUUUUUGGCAUAACACCAUCUAUGGCAAGCAAAUGAAACAUUAAUGUUCUGUUUAAGUGGAAUUAGAAAUGAAGCAUCAACAUGAAAUUAAGAGUCUCCUUGCUUUUACAAACAUUGGUCUAUUGAAAAUACAUGAGAUGGAUUAUGUUUUGCCAACCUUUUUGCAGCAUACCUACUGUAGUAUUCGGGAAUGUUGCUCAGUAUGCUACAGAAAUGUACCAGAAAGAAGCAUCUGGCACCAUUCAGAAGCUUGUGUUCGUUAAAUUUGAUGCAGCAGAACUCGAUUCCUUGUUAAAACCAGGGACCUUUGUGGAUGCAUUCCUGUCCUUAGAUCCAUAUGACUAUCAGCAGAGUGCAGGCAUCCGAUUGGUGGCCAAAAAAUUGAUUAUUCAUUCCGAAUAACAGGAGGAAAAGAACCUUUCGGAGGAUCAGCAUUUGAUGGUU